rnacentral:rRNA from 1 species
UACGGAGGGAGCUAGCGUUGUUCGGAAUUAUUGGGCGUAAAGAGCUCGUAGGCGGUUUGUCGCGUCUGCUGUGAAAACUGGAGGCUCAACCUCCAGCCUGCAGUGGGUACGGGCAAACUAGAGUGCGGUAGGGGAGAUUGGAAUUCCUGGUGUAGCGGUGGAAUGCGCAGAUACCAGGAGGAACACCGAUGGCGAAGGCAGAUCUCUGGGCCGUAACUGACGCUGAGGAGCGAAAGCAUGGGGAGCGAACAGG